rnacentral:rRNA from 1 species
CUGUCUCUUAUAGUGAUCAAUUAAACUGAUCUCCUAGUAAAAAAGCUAGAAUUACAACAUAAGACCAGAAGACCCUGUGAAGCUUAAAUAAAACUAUUAAACCAUAUAAUAACUACUUUCGGUUGGGGCGACCUUGGAAAAAAAAAGAACUUCCAAAUAAAAUGAAUAUACCUCAUUAUCUAAGCAGGCCAACAAGCCAAAAAUGACCCAGCACAGCUGAUAAUUGAACCAAGUUACUCCAGGGAUAACAGCGCAAUCUUCUUCAAGAGCCCAUAUCAAAAAGAAGGUUUACGACCUCGAUGUUGGAUCAGGACAUCCUAAUGGUGCAGCCGCUAUUAAGGGUUCGUUUGUUCAACGAUUAAUAGUCUCSSGGGGRRAUCUKG